CCCGCCACUGCACCUGACCACUUCCCCGUUGGCUGGUGCAUUCCAGUGGUGAGCUGAAAUAGGAACCCCCAGCUUAGAACAGGGUUAUUCUUCUGGUGGAUGACUCUGUGCCGAAGCAUGGGGACAACC